rnacentral:pre_miRNA from 1 species
CUCUGUCCCAUAAUAUAAGAACGUUUUUGACACUAGUGUAGUGUUAAAAACGUUCUUAUAUUUUGGGACAGAGG